rnacentral:rRNA from 1 species
UGCUAGUCGAGCGGUAGCACAGAGAGCUUGCUCUCGGGUGACGAGCGGCGGACGGGUGAGUAAUGUCUGGGAAACUGCCUGAUGGAGGGGGAUAACUACUGGAAACGGUAGCUAAUACCGCAUAACGUCGCAAGACCAAAGUGGGGGACCUUCGGGCCUCAUGCCAUCAGAUGUGCCCAGAUGGGAUUAGCUAGUAGGUGGGGUAACGGCUCACCUAGGCGACGAUCCCUAGCUGGUCUGAGAGGAUGACCAGCCACACUGGAACUGAGACACGGUCCAGACUCCUACGGGAGGCAGCAGUGGGGAAUAUUGCACAAUGGGCGCAAGCCUGAUGCAGCCAUGCCGCGUGUAUGAAGAAGGCCUUCGGGUUGUAAAGUACUUUCAGCGGGGAGGAAGGCGAUAAGGUUAAUAACCUUGUCGAUUGACGUUACCCGCAGAAGAAGCACCGGCUAACUCCGUGCCAGCAGCCGCGGUAAUACGGAGGGUGCAAGCGUUAAUCGGAAUUACUGGGCGUAAAGCGCACGCAGGCGGUCUGUCAAGUCGGAUGUGAAAUCCCCGGGCUCAACCUGGGAACUGCAUUCGAAACUGGCAGGCUAGAGUCUUGUAGAGGGGGGUAGAAUUCCAGGUGUAGCGGUGAAAUGCGUAGAGAUCUGGAGGAAUACCGGUGGCGAAGGCGGCCCCCUGGACAAAGACUGACGCUCAGUGCGAAAGCGUGGGGAGCAAAACAGGAUUAGAUACCCUGGUAGUCCACGCCGUAAACGAUGUCGAUUUGGAGGUUGUGCCCUUGAGGCGUGGCUUCCCGGAGCUAACGCGUUAAAUCGACCGCCUGGGGGAGUACGGCCGCAAGGUUAAAACUCAAAUGAAUUUGACGGGGGCCCGCACAAGCGGUGGGAGCAUGUGGUUU